GACGAACGCUGGCGGCGUGCUUAACACAUGCGAGUCGAACGGAAAGGCCCUGCUUUUGUGGGGUGCUCGAGUGGCGAACGGGUGAGUAACACGUGAGUAACCUGCCCUUGACUUUGGGAUAACUUCAGGAAACUGGGGCUAAUACCGGAUAGGAGCUCCUGCUGCAUGGUGGGGGUUGGAAAGUUUCGGCGGUUGGGGAUGGACUCGCGGCUUAUCAGCUUGUUGGUGGGGUAGUGGCUUACCAAGGCUUUGACGGGUAGCCGGCCUGAGAGGGUGACCGGCCACAUUGGGACAGAGGUACAGCCCAGACUCCUACGGGAGGCAGCAGUGGUGAAUAUUACACGAUGGGCGGAAGCCUGAUGCAGCAACGCCGCGUGCGGGAUGACGGCCUUCGAGUUGUAAACCGCUUUCGCCUAUGACGAAGCGUGAGUGACGGUAAUGGGUAAAGAAGCACCGGCUAACUACGUG
rnacentral:rRNA from 1 species